UCGAGAAUCUUCCGCAAUGCGGGAAACCGUGACGGAGCAAUGCCGCGUGAGGGAUGAAGGCCUUCGGGUCGUAAACCUCUGUCACCCGGGAUGAAUUUUGACAGUACCGGGACAGGAAGCCACGGCUAACUACGUGCCAGCAGCCGCGGUAAUACGUAGGUGGCGAGCGUUAUUCGGAUUCAUUGGGCGUAAAGGGUCCGCAGGGGGUUUGGUAAGUUUGGUGUGAAAUGCCAGGGCUCAACCUUGGACAUGCAUUGAAAACUGCCAGACUAGAGUGCAGGAGAGGAGAGUGGAAUACCAGGUGUAGCGGUGGAAUGCGUAGAUAUCUGGUAGAACACCGAUGGCGAAGGCAGCUCUCUGGACUGCUACUGACCCUCAUGGACGAAAGCCGGGGGAGCGAACAGG
rnacentral:rRNA from 1 species